AUUGAACGCUGGCGGCAUGCCUAACACAUGCAAGUCGAACGGCAGCACAGUAAAGACUUCGGUCUUUAUGGGUGGCGAGUGGCGGACGGGUGAGUAACGCGUAGGAAUCUGUCCUGGAGAGUGGGAUAACCCGAGGAAACUCGGGCUAAUACCGCAUGAUAUCGAGAGAUCAAAGGCAGGGGACCCUUCGGGGCCUUGCGCUCUAGGUUGAGCCUACGUCGGAUUAGCUAGUUGGGGGGGUAAAGGCCUACCACGGCGACGAUCCGUAGCUGGUCUGAGAGGCAGACCAGCCACACGGAGACUGAGACACGGCCCAGACUCCUACGGGAGGCAGCAGUGGGGAAUCUUAGACAAUGGGGGAAACCCUGAUCCAGCGAUGCCGCGUGUGUGAAGAAGGCCUUCGGGUUGUAAAGCACUUUAGGUGGGGAAGAAAGGUAAUGAGUGAAUAACUGAUUGCUUUGACGGUACCCGCAGAAUAAGCACCGGCUAACUCUGUGCCAGCAGCCGCCGUAA
rnacentral:rRNA from 1 species